GCAACCGGAUCAUAAAAGCAUAAGUAGUGUUUCCUUGUUAGAAGAUACAAAGACAAAGACUCAUACGGACUUCAGCUACACCAUCAAAGUUUUGAGAAGCAUU
rnacentral:sRNA from 1 species